AAUGAAGGGAGGGGUGGAAAAGGAGGAGGAAGGUGUGGAGGACGGCAGGAGGAGAGGGAAAGCGAGUGAGUCUCUGCAUUUCAAGUGCUUAACAGUGACCUUAGAAUCUGUGUUUCUCUCUCUCUCUCUCUCUCUCUCUCUCUCUCUCUCUUUCUCUCUCUCUCUGUCUCUCUCGUUCUCUCUGCAUUAAAGUACAAUGCUGCAUUUCUUUAGAGCGUCCCAGGAAGAACUACUAGAGUGCCUGCAGCCCUGCCUACUUCUUGUUCUAUCUUUCUCCCUCCUUUUUUCCAACUUUAUGAUGCAUUGAUGGAGAAGUAUGACUCUGAGGCCUGAGAGCAGAGGAGAAGUUUUCUGGACUUGUAUGGGAUUCAUGUACAAAUUAUUAGCAAAUUUAGGAGUGAAGGAUUGUCGUUUGAGGGUUCAUAAGUUGAACAAAGAAACUUGUGAAUUUCAUUAGGCUCCUGGUUCUUAUGUCUGCGAAUGCACUUCACCACCACCAUGGACAGAAUGAGCAGAGCAAGGAUGCCCCCCACAGAUGCCCCGAUGGCCACAGCAAUGGUUGAGUCUCUCGGUGGAGGUACUGGGCAGAAGAUGAGAGAGAUGAAAGAAAUUCAUGAAGCAAUGAAACAAGUAAAGGUUCAUGGCAAACUUGCUGGGGUCCAGCUUGUAGCAUGAGGUGAAAGUACAUGUGAUUCUGACAUCACUCCCGUUGAGAGCGUUGAUUAGCGUCGGCACCAGCACAUCCAUGGACGUCACUGGACAGGCUAAAAGAUAUGCAUAUAUACAUAUGUCUUAUUCCUGCAAUCUGAUUGGUGAAAUACUUUGGUAAAGUCCAUGUUUUUUAUCAUAUGUGACAAAAAUGCUUUUUGAAGUAACUGACUUAAGUAUUAGAACAGGGGUGCCCAAACUCAGUCCUGGAGGGCCGGUGUCCUGCAGAGUUUGGCUCCAACUUGCCUCAACACACCUGCCAGGACAUUGAUAGCAAGCCUACUAAGAGCUUGAUUAGCUACUCCAGGUGUGUCUGAUUGGGGUUGGAUCUAAACUAUGUUUAGAGUUUUGGCAUCCUUGAAUGUUUUUACAAUAUUUUUUAGUUUAUAGUAGUAUUAUAUAACUUAUAUUCAUGAAUGAAUAGUUGUCUUUAAAAUGGCUAAAAUAAGUUUGAAUUAUUGUGUUUCGUAAAAGAUUAUAUAUUUAUUUAUUUGAAUUAGUUAGAAAGCCUGAGGAUGCUAUGAUUUUUUAAAAUCUUUUUUUUAAAUAAGCUUGUUAUUCUCACAAUUGCCUGUUAUUUGCUAAAAGAUACACUAAAAACUGUACUGCUGUAAAAAUGUAUUGCAAUUAUCCAUUUUAAAAGUAAUUCUUGUAUGAUACUGGCUGAGUAUUCAGCAGUCGUAACUCAAUUUCUCAGUGUCACAUGCUACUUCAGAAAUCUGAUGCUUUAAUAAAUAUUAAUGGUAUCUGAUCAAAUAAAUAAAAUAGGGAAACUU